GUGAUAAGUGCGCAACAUGCAAAUUCAUUUCUAAUGUGGCAAGAUCAAGCUGGCAUAUGUAGCUUAUGGUGAAUCCAGGUUCGCACGCAAAGGUCAUGGUUAAUGGUGGCGGGUGUAGUCCCGAUCAUGAUACUUACCCUUGUGUUCUGAAAUCUUGCUUGUGCUCUGAUAAUUUAAGCUUCAAAUUGCAAGCGCAUAAAGACAUGCCGAAGGAUCGACUUGAUUUAUAUCUAUUUGUUAGAAGCGGUCUAAUUCCAGUGUAUGGGAAAUGUCUUUGCUUGUUGAAGGCAAGGCGUAUUUUAUUUUUACAUGAAGUAUCUAGCGGCGAUGUUAUUUGAUAAUGCAUUGAAGGUUCUCGGGAAAAGGCUUUAACACAAGAGUCAGCUGUCAUUUUAUGUCUAGUCUCAUGCCGGUGGUAAAUAACAGACCAGUUGAUAACAUUCUGUAUGUUAAGAAGAUAUUAUGAAUUUAGACAAGAGAUUAGUUUUAUAUGCCUAGCAAAGCUGUAGAAUUGUAUUUAGAAAUGGAGAAAAGUGGGGUGAAACCUAGCGUAAUUACUUGUGCUAGUGUUUCUUGAGCUUGUGAGGAUCUUGACUAUAUUGUUAGGAAGGAGAAUUGAUCAAUAUGUUGAGAGGAAGAAACUGUAUCCAAAUUUUCUAUUGGAAAAUACAUUAGUAGACAUGUAUGCUAGUUGUAGAUAUCUAGAUGAUGCAAGAAAGUAAGAGAAUGUUCGUUAUGUUGAUUCAUUGAUCGGAAUUCAUUGAUAUCUGCAUAUGAUAUGACUAGACAAGGUUGUAAUGGGUGGAACUCUUCACAAAAAUGCAAUUUAGGUCUAAGCACGAAUUCUAUUGUCUUUGCAA